GACGAACGCUGGCGGCGUGCUUAACACAUGCAAGUCGACAUGAGUAGGGAAAGGGUGAGUAAUAGGUGGCUAACCUGCCCUCUGUGUUGGGCUAAGCAUUGGAAACGGGGUCUAAUAACGAAUAGAGGGGGAUGGGCGGGCGGUCAAUCAGCUUGUUGGUGGGGUGCUGGCAUAGCAAGGCGGGGACGGGUGGCCGGCCUGAGAGGGUGACCGGCCACAUUGGGACUGAGAUACGGCCCAGACUCCUACGGGAGGCAGCAGUGGGGGAUAUUGCACAAUGGGCGAAAGCCUGAUGCAGCGACGCCGCGUGGGGGAUGAAGGCUUUCGGUUUGUAAACCUCUUUCGCUAUCGAACGUGUAGGUGGAGAAGAAGCGCCGGCUAACUACGUGCCAGCAGCCGCGGUAAUAC
rnacentral:rRNA from 1 species